UACAGAGGUCUCAAGCGUUGUUCGGAUUCAUUGGGCGUAAAGGGUGCGUAGGUGGCGUCGUAAGUCAGGUGUGAAAUCUCGGAGCUUAACUCCGAAACUGCAUUUGAUACUGCAGUGCUUGAGGACUGGAGAGGAGACUGGAAUUUACGGUGUAGCAGUGAAAUGCGUAGAGAUCGUAAGGAAGACCAGUGGCGAAGGCGGCUCUCUGGACAGUUCCUGACACUGAGGCACGAAGGCCAGGGGAGCAAACGGG
rnacentral:rRNA from 1 species